GACGAACGCUGGCGGCGUGCUUAACACAUGCAAGUCGAACGGAAAGGUCUCUUUCGGGGGGUACUCGAGUGGCGAACGGGUGAGUAACACGUGAGUAACCUGCCCUUGACUUUGGGAUAACUUCAGGAAACUGGGGCUAAUACCGGAUAGGAGCUCCUGCUGCAUGGUGGGGGUUGGAAAGUUUCGGCGGUUGGGGAUGGACUCGCGGCUUAUCAGCUUGUUGGUGGGGUAGUGGCUUACCAAGGCUUUGACGGGUAGCCGGCCUGAGAGGGUGACCGGCCACAUUGGGACUGAGAUACGGCCCAGACUCCUACGGGAGGCAGCAGUGGGGAAUAUUGCACAAUGGGUGGAAGCCUGAUGCAGCAACGCCGUGUGCGGGAUGACGGCCUUCGGGUUGUAAACCGCUUUCGCUUAUGACGAAGCUUUGUGUGACGGUAGUGGGUAAAGAAGCACCGGCUAACUACGUG
rnacentral:rRNA from 1 species